GACGAACGCUGGCGGCGUGCCUAACACAUGCAAGUCGAGCGAUGAAACCCUUCGGGGUGGAUUAGCGGCGGACGGGUGAGUAACACGUGGGUAACCUGCCUCAAAGAGGGGGAUAGCCUCCCGAAAGGGAGAUUAAUACCGCAUAACAUUAGUUUUUCGCAUGAAGAACUAAUUAAAGGAGUAAUCCGCUUUGAGAUGGACCCGCGGCGCAUUAGCUAGUUGGUGAGGUAAAGGCUCACCAAGGCGACGAUGCGUAGCCGACCUGAGAGGGUGAUCGGCCACAUUGGAACUGAGACACGGUCCAGACUCCUACGGGAGGCAGCAGUGGGGAAUAUUGCACAAUGGGCGAAAGCCUGAUGCAGCAACGCCGCGUGAGUGACGAAGGCCUUCGGGUUGUAAAGCUCUGUCUUUUGGGACGAUAAUGACGGUACCAAAGGAGGAAGCCACGGCUAACUUCGUGCCAGCAGCCGCAGUAA
rnacentral:rRNA from 1 species